CCCAAGUUGUAAGGGUUGGACCUCAUUUUUUUCCCUUUAUUUUUCUUUUCUCUUUUUCCUUUCUCUUUCUUCUUUCUUUUUCUUAUUUCUUUUUCUUAUUUCUUUUUCUUUCUUCCUCCUUAUUUCUCCCCAGCCCCACGCAACAUCUCUCCCUCCCUCUUCGUCCGUUUCCUUCAUCUCCCUAGCCCGCCACUGGUUGCCAGCGUGGCCCUCAGUGCCCCUCCCACCUAGUUCCCCCACUGGCCGGCGCACCUACCCAUCAAUUUUCAGCCCCUCCCGCACUGUCGUUAACCACCACAAGCUCCUCCAAGCCGCAAUAUCAUUUUGCUCUAGCGCCGUCAUCGUUUCACCCCUGGGCACCAUUUCUUCACCACUUCAUUACUGACCUCUUGCAGACCUAAUCCACCCAUUUACAACUCUGAUACAUCGCAAGAGCAACUACCACAAGUUAAAAUCCAAUUUGGCCUUCCACUGCCAUUUUCGUCGCCACCCACGGCCAACCACCACUUCCACUAGCUAUAUUAACACCUCUAAUCCAUUACGUAUCAAUUCCAAGUCUUAAUUUGUCUCCAUUCAUAAGUAGGUAUUUUGUGACCCACGACCACGGUGCAUUUUGCACUGUUACGUUGCCUUUCCGCUACCUUUUGCAGCUCAUUAAUCCUCCAAAAAUUAUUUUAUAGUACUUUCUGUGACAGGAAACUUUAUGAUCAGUUGGCAAUUUUCUUAUGCUGAUGUGGAGCUUCUAGUUUCAGUGAAAUAAGUAUGUGCAUGAGAAAAUACUGCUCUCUCCAAAGUAGGUGGGUGAUAAUGCAAUGACUACAUUUCAUAGCUUUAACAAGUAUUUGCUGAGUUGGGGAAAGCGGGCAUUGGAGUUGUAUUACGAGAUACUUCAAGGUCAGUUAUUAUGGCUGCAAGUCCAUCUAAAUCUAAAGUUGCUGAACCUGAAGCUAUUGAAUUGUUAGCCAUUUUCGCGGUAUGCAAUUAUGUGCUACAAUGGGAAUUUCAAAGCUUGUUUUCGAAAGUGAUAGUUUGCUUAUUGUUGAAGCCUUACAGGAUGAUGGUAUGAGAAAUUCUAUGCUUGGUAUGUUGUAUCAUGAAAUUAAGAAAUUAUCGUCUUGUUUUGAUACUUGUAGCUCUUCACAAGUAUACUAGGUGGGUAAUAUGGUUGCUCAUAAGUUAGCUAGGAAUGCUUUCAUGGUGGAAAGCAUUAGUUUAUGGUGGGAUUGUAUUCCAGAUUGUAUUUC